GACGAACGCUGGCGGCGUGCUUAACACAUGCAAGUCGAACGGAAAGGCCCUGCUUGCAGGGUGCUCGAGUGGCGAACGGGUGAGUAACACGUGGGUGAUCUGCCCCUUACUUUGGGAUAAGCCUGGGAAACUGGGUCUAAUACUGGAUAGGACCAUGCUGUAGGUGGUGUGGUGGAAAGAUUAGUUUCGGUAAGGGAUGAGCUCGCGGCCUAUCAGCUUGUUGGUGGGGUAAUGGCCUACCAAGGCGUCGACGGGUAGCCGGCCUGAGAGGGUGGACGGCCACAUUGGGACUGCGAUACGGCCCAGACUCCUACGGGAGGCAGCAGUGGGGAAUAUUGCACAAUGGGCGCAAGCCUGAUGCAGCGACGCCGCGUGGGGGGUGACGGCCUUCGGGUUGUAAACUCCUUUCAGCCAUGACGAAGCCCUUGUGGUGACGGUAGUGGUAGAAGAAGCACCGGCUAACUACGUG
rnacentral:rRNA from 1 species